rnacentral:rRNA from 1 species
AUGAGGUCAGUAUGCUUGCUGCAUCGUCAAGUGGUGAAGCGACUAUCACUUCCCCCAGUGUCUGCUCAAAAAAUAUAUUGUUCUGGUAUGCUAGAAGAACCGGAAGACUCUGCUUCUGAUACUGACAGUGAAUCUGCUGAACCUGAUGAGGAAAUGGUUACUGUUGAAGCUCCAAUAGCUAGUGGCUUGAAGAUAAUGGAAUUUAUGGAGAAAACCAAGGAAAGGGCUACACCCAAGAACAAGUGGGGCCCGGUGGUUGCUCCAAGACCGAGCUGUAGGGUCCACAACAGGCAAAAUAUCAUGGAGAAAGCUGCAGCUUACAAGAUGAAACAAAACCUGGAAAUCCCCCCUACAUUUAAAAGGCGCGCCGUGGACAAGCACCCGUGCAAUCUUGGCAAGGAUCAGCUCAUCGCUACAUCAAUGGAAGAUUCUCUAUGUGGGCGACCAAUUGGUGCUGCUGAGAAGAUGCAUUCAACUCUUGGAUCGGCGAAGAGGCGAGCUGCUUAG